rnacentral:tRNA from 1 species
GCGGGAAUAGCUCAGUUGGUAGAGCACGACCUUGCCAAGGUCGGGGUCUUGAGUUCGAGUCUCGUUUCCCGCUCCA